rnacentral:rRNA from 1 species
GAUGAACGCUGGCGGCGUGCUUAACACAUGCAAGUCGAACGGAAAGGCUCCUGCUUGCAGGGGUACUCGAGUGGCGAACGGGUGAGUAACACGUGGGUGAUCUGCCCUGCACUUCGGGAUAAGCCUGGGAAACUGGGUCUAAUACCGGAUAGGACGAUGGUUUGGAUGCCAUUGUGGAAAGUUUUUCGGUGUGGGAUGAGCUCGCGGCCUAUCAGCUUGUUGGUGGGGUAAUGGCCUACCAAGGCGUCGACGGGUAGCCGGCCUGAGAGGGUGUACGGCCACAUUGGGACUGAGAUACGGCCCAGACUUCUACGGGAGGCAGCAGUGGGGAAUAUUGCACAAUGGGCGCAAGCCUGAUGCAGCGACGCCGCGUGGGGGAUGACGGCCUUCGGGUUGUAAACUCCUUUCGCUAGGGACGAAGCGCAAGUGACGGUACCUGGAGAAGAAGCACCGGCUAACUACGUG